UACGUAGGGACCAAGCGUUGUCCGGAAUCAUUGGGCGUAAAGCGCGCGUAGGCGGCCCGGUAAGUCCGUUGUAAAAGUCGAAGGCUCAACCUUCGAAAGCCGAUGGAUACUGCCGGGCUAGAGUACGGAAGAGGCGAGUAGAAUUCCUGGUGUAGCGGUGGAAUGCGCAGAUAUCAGGAGGAAUACCCAUAGCGAAGGCAGCUCGCUGGGACGGUACUGACGCUGAGACGCGAAAGCGUGGGGAGCGAACAGG
rnacentral:rRNA from 1 species